UCAGCGCGAGCAAGGGCCGUUAGAUACAGGUUACCCAAAACAGAAGGGACUAGUGUCACCUCGUUUGCAGGUAACAAACGUGAUCAGGGAAAUCACUAGGAUUGUCGGAUUUAGCAAAUAAAAAUCCAGGACGCCCAGUUCAUUGUGAAAUUUCAGGUAAACUAUGAAUGAUAUUUUGUCCUAAGGAUGCCGUGAGUAUUGUACGGGAUAUACUUACACUAAAAGAAGUUACUCACUGUUUAUCUGAAAUUUGAAUUUCAUCAGGUGUCCUGUAUUUUAUCAGGGAACCCUGAAACUCACUUACCCGAGGUACGUAAGAGGCACAGCCUGAAGUUAAAAUCAGUCAGACUCCAACACCACGCUCCGAACGCUGGCCUGAGCCAAAUGCACAACUACCCUGUUAUUUCUCUUAUUGUUACAGCUAUUAAUAUUAUUUUUUAUCAGGUUCUGGAGAAUUCAGUGGUAAUAAGACAACCCUGUCAGGCAAAAGCAUAUAAUAACUUGUAGACAGAAACAAUAAUUACAAUCUGAUCUAUAAAUUGAAUAAGAAAAGUGAUGAAGCAUACCACGGAGGAGAAUGCAAUUAUUCGCUCUGUAGGCUGUGCAGAGAAAAACUACUCGUUAGUAGCAUCCUUCAAGGUUUAACUCAAUGGCCCUUUCUCUACUCUGCUCCAGCUCUUGAAGGUGAAAGCAAUUUCUUCCUCCUCUGAAUUUUCACGUGAAAGCAAUUUCUUUAGCUGUCCCUCACUUAAAAUAUUUACUACUUUCUAGUGGAAAGUUCUUGAUACAGACGUGGUAUGUACAACUCUCAUUGCCCUAACUGAAAUGUAGUUGUCUUAAGAUACUUUGUGAGUAGGAGCUCCCCAGCUAAUAGUUAAAAUGAAGUCUAGAAAACUUCUACUUAAGUCUGUUGGUAAAUCUAUUGAUGGGUAAGUUCUGCUUUAAGAAAAAAAUUAAUAUAUAUUGUAUUAAUAAUUACGAAGAGAAAAGUAUUUAUUGAGCAUGUACUAUAUGGCAAACACUUCAUAUAUUUUAUCUUACUAAUCCCCCUUACAACCUUGUGUGGUGGGUGUUAUAGGUGAAACAACAAGCUUGGUGAAGUAAUAGACACCUUGUCCAGGGUCACAUAGGUAGUAGUUGCAAAGUCACUGGUCUGAAUCCAGAAAUGGUGGUCUCAGUCCACCUGCUUCACUGCCCCUGCUGAGGAAAGGAAGGUGUGCUCAGGUGAUACGACUCAACCUAAAGCCACAUAACAGAUUACUAAAUAAGGCAAAAUGACACACCUAUCAGGGCCCAAGAUUUAGUUGGAAGACACAAAUUAAGUGCUGAUUUAUCUUUGAAGCAACAUUGAAUAUCAAGAAGAAUUUGGUCUUCCCUUUGGAAUUUGGAUAUAACAAAAUUUAACCUGUAACAAAUAUGGUUUCUAAAAUAGUUGAGAGAGAGAGGGAGGGAGGGAGAAAGAAUGUGCUAGCUUAAUAUUUGCCUUUUAAUUACUAAGAAGAUGUUCUUAUGUGUGUAAUCCGAGAGGUUUUCAAAACAUAUUUCUUUCUCUUCUAGCCCCAUCUCUACUAGGUUAUUCUGCUCUCCAUUUCCCAAAUUGUAUUUGAACUGUAGUGAUGUUUAAAAGCAUGGACUCUGGAGCUAAACUUCUUAAGUUCAAACCCCAGCCUUGCAAAUGACUGUUUAUGUAAUAUCUAGCAAGCUAUUUCAGCUCUCUGUGUCUCUGGUUCCUCAUCUGUAAUUGGUUAUAAUGAUAGUAUAACAUUUACACGGUUGUUAUAAAUUUAUAUGUGGAAAAUUCUUGAAACGAAAUCUGUCUGGCCUGACAAAUAGAAAACGUUAUUAGAUUCCCUUCUAAAUGGCCUUAUUUCCUCAUUUAUUAUCUGGCCAAAAGUUAGUGGGUUCCAGAAAGCAAAGAAUCUCCUUAUUUAUCCUCCUAGAUAGAGUGUUGGACAGUCUCUGCUUCAGAAAUGUGAUCUGUAUCCGAAACCCAACUAGCCUGCCAUAUGGUGCUAUAUUGGUGUUGUAGGUCAGUGAUCACAGUUGGGAGAGUUGUCAAAAGAUCUCAGGUAAACCCCACUGUGUGUGCUUGCUGAGCUGAAACUGGAAUUCAAGCUUGCUGUUUGUGAAAGAGUUAACUUGGGGCUUCUUUCUGAGGUUAAUUUCAUUGAGCUUUUUUGUUUCGAGGUGGAAGGAGAAAGGAGUAUUGUGCAUCGUGCUUUGGGAGAUGCAUUCAUUCAUCAUUCUUUAACGAUUAUCGAUUAAACAUCUACCGUGCAUUAGGUUGGUACCUAAUGCAUUCUUCUCUGGAAAUGCAAACAGUGGACAAUAACUUGCCUUCUGGUUUCAGAGGAGGAGGGGUGCUUACAUAGUGAACAAGUAGACAAUUAGUAUGAUGAUAUCUAUUGACAAAUGUCUUGAAGAAAAUGAAACAGUAAUGUAUUAGUAAUAAAUAGGGGUGGUGGAAUUAUACUUUAGAUUGGUCAAGGAGCACCUUGCUAAGAACUAUUAAUAGCAUUUACACUAAUGCAUAAAGGCUGGGCAGGAGACACAGAGACAGAUACCUGGGGAAAAAGCACUGGGAGCAGAAGGCAGGGGCCCCGAGGCCAGAGAAAGCCUGCCUUACUCAAGACAGUGAUGGAGGCCUGUGUGGCUGGACCGCAGCACUGAGCAAGGCCAGAGCAGGAGAGAUGACGUCAGAGAUGUAGGCAGGGAUUUUAGUCAGUGAACCGACGUGAUCUGGUUUGCAUUUUUCAAUGAUUAUAUCUGGAAGACAGACAUACUGUGGAAGACAGAUCUCAGGAGCAAGAGUGAAAGAAGGGGUUAGAGGAUACCCCAGACUAACUCUUAUAUAGACGUUAAAGUGAAUAUGACCCAGUUUGCAUUCCCAGACUAGAGAAUUCCAGGGUGGUGGCAGUGGGAAGCAGAUACAAAUGGAAAGACUCAAAGCAUAUUUUAGAGCUAAGAUCAUAACCUUGGGCAAGUUGGGUAAACUCCACAUACCUAAGUUUCCUUUACUGAAGAUGAAAAUAAAAUUACCAAAGUUAUUUUGAAGCUCAAGUAAAAUAAUGCAUAUAAAGUGUUAAGCAUAGCACUUAGAAUUUAGUUUGUUUACAGUCAAGGUUAACUUAUUUUUAGCAGGGGUAGUAUUACUUGGGACGUACGUAGUGCCCGUCUGGAGCCCUGGGGACAAAGUGAGACUGGUUUACACAUGCACACACACCCUGUACCACAGACCCAAAGCAUCCGUGAGCAGCAGACAGGUGGGGCAGGUGAGGCACCUUAAUAAGAAAUGGUCAAGAAAGGAAUGGAGCUGAUCGAGCCCUGUGAACUUCCAUAAAUAACUGACUUGGGCAGGAGGGAAAUGGAGGAAUGUUCUCCGAUCAUUUGGGUGCAAGCUGAGGGCCUUCUUACCUUGGGCAUUUUGGCGGAGAGUACUAGUUAUCCCCCCAGUAUCUCUGCUCUCUGUUUUGGGUUGAAUUGUUUCCCCUCAACAUUCGCUGUUGAAGUUCUCAACUGCAGGACCUUAAAACGUGACCUUACUUGGAGACAGGGUCUUCACGAAGGUAAGCACGUGACGGCAAGGCCAUGAGGCUAGCGGUGAUCAAAUGUGACUGGUGUCCUUCUGAAAAGGGGAAAUUUGAACAAGGGGAUGCACGCAGAAGGAAGAUGGUGUGAAAAGACAUAGGAAGAAGAUAGCCAAGAAGGGAGGCCUGGAGCAGCUCCUUCUCUCAUAGCCUUCGGAAGGAACCAGCCCUGCCGAUGACCUUGAUUGUUGACCUCUGGCCUCCAGGACUAUGAGACAUGAUAGAAUUUUCACCUGGGCACAAGUGUGCCAGAAAGAGGACUGGCUACAUUUCCCAGCCUUCGCUGCAUCUGGGGUAGCCAGUUUCCAAGCGCUGGCCGGUGGGACCAAAGCAGGAGUUUUAUGCAGUACUUCUAGGUACCUGUUAACUAAGGAAGAACCCAGGUGUGCCAUUUGCCUUUUUCUUCUUUGUUUCUGCUUCCAUCCUGCUUCCUAAAACUCAAAUGAUGCCAUUUGGGGACAGGAGGCCGUGGGCCAAGUGCAGAGGGACAACAGGUUGGAGUGAAGGUGCCUGACAUUGUGGAGCCCAGGCCUGACACCGUGUUAUCCAGGAUGGCUUACGUGGACGUCUGUGUAAGAUAGUGAUGUGCUGCCCUCUAUUUCAGCCUCUUAUGAUGGGCCUCCUGCCAAUGUCACUUGGCCUAAUCCUAACGAAUACAGACAUUGUAGUCAGUGUGACCUAAUUUGCAUCCCCAGGCUAGUUAAGGUCUGUGGUCUUGGGUUAUACUUAUGAUCUCUAUGGCAAAGAUUAAAAAGCAAAAUUAUAAAAUAAUAGUGAAAAUUUGGAAAAACAGGCAUUCUCACAUAUUGCUGUUGGCAAUAUAACUUAGUAAAAUUUUUCUGGACAGUUGUGACUGCAAACAUGAAGUCUUCAAAAUGUAUCUACUCUUUUGACUAGAAAUUCUACUUUUAGAAAUACAUAUAGGUAUGUAAUAUUUGGCUCUGAGAAUAUUCAUUUAUAUAUCAUUUGCAAUAGCAAAUAACUACUAAUGUUAUUGGCUUAACAAAUUAUGAUACAACAUAAAGCCACAAAAUACUAUUCUUUAUAGAAAAAUAUUGAAUAGAAUAUAAACUUGUUCGUGAGAACUAUUGGGUAAAAAGUUAUGUUUCAAAUCUAUUUGUACUAUAAGAGCCCUAGUGUGCUCGUGUGUGUGUGUGUGUGUGUGUGUGUGUGUAUGCGUGUAAUGUGCAAAUACCUGGAAAGAAGAAUAUACAAAAUUUUAGAAAUAGUUUUCUUUGGGGAUUAUAGGUGAUUAUGAUUUUCUUCUUUUACUUUUUCUGGGUUUUUCAUUCAAAAUUUUAUUUAAAAUAUCUUACACAUUUUAAGAUAGUUAUGAUAAAUUAUGACUCUAAUGAUUCCCUUUCGGUUUUGCUUUUAAACCAGUCAAACAUUACCUGAACUCAUCCCCUUCCUCUAACGUCUUGCUAAAUGCCGCCAACCACCACCAGUUACACUGAUGAUCAUGUUUUUCACUUACCGUCUAGAGCUGCUGUCUCACUUGUAGUGGAGUCUGCCUUCCACGUUGUCAUGGGCGCUGCAGAAGCUGAAUCCCUAGAUUUCCAGCCUGCUGACAAGCAAAAGGCCAACCACACAUUUUAGAUUAUAUUACAGCAGCCUCCCACUUCUUGUACCAAUUUCUUAGAGUGGGCUACUUUAAUAAAACAAUGCAAAAUUUAGUUUAA